rnacentral:rRNA from 1 species
AUUGAACGCUGGCGGAAUGCUUUACACAUGCAAGUCGAACGGCAGCACGGGGCAACCUGGUGGCGAGUGGCGAACGGGUGAGUAAUACAUCGGAACGUGCCCAAUCGUGGGGAUAACGUAGCGAAAGUUACGCUAAUACCGCAUACGAUCUACGGAUGAAAGCGGGGGAUCGCAAGACCUCGCGCGAAUGGAGCGGCCGAUGUCAGAUUAGGUAGUUGGUGGGGUAAAGGCUCACCAAGCCAACGAUCUGUAGCUGGUCUGAGAGGACGACCAGCCACACUGGAACUGAGACACGGUCCAGACUCCUACGGGAGGCAGCAGUGGGGAAUUUUGGACAAUGGGCGCAAGCCUGAUCCAGCCAUUCCGCGUGCAGGAUGAAGGCCUUCGGUGUAAACUGCUUUUGUACGGAACGAAACGGCGAGCUCUAAUACAGUUUGCUAAUGACGGUACCGUAAGAAUAAGCACCGGCUAACUACGUGCCAGCAGCCGCGGUAAU